AGGACAUUCAUAGAGGGCUCUCAGGC
rnacentral:piRNA from 1 species